rnacentral:lncRNA from 1 species
UUUGAUUUUUUUUUAUUUUUCAUGCCCAUUUCAAAAUGCGGUCAAAACGGUGGGUAUGACCGUUCGUAGCUAGGGCUUGAUUUUUGAAAAUAUUUUGGAGUAUCUAUGAAGAAAUAGAUACUUUUCUACCUAUAAUUUUUUUUUGAAAAAAAUAAAUAGCAAACUAUGAGGCGGCUGCAGUUCAAAUUUGACGUGCUUUCAGCUGAAUUGGCUGAAAG